CAUAGUCACAUGAUAGAUGGGAGUAUACAUUCACAUCAUGUAUUCAACCAGUCAUUAUGAUCAGACAGCGAAAUUCCAAAAGCUAAAAUCCUAACGGUACUUAACAAGGAAAAACAACUUUAUUCACAUAAAAUAAUGUAAGAUUCAAAUCCAGUUUUUGUUUUGAUGUAUUAUUAUUAUUUGUAUUACUACUAUUAUUACGUAUUAGUGAUUGCAAACGUCCAAAAGCUUAAAUCAUACUGAACAGAAAAGCUUUGUUCACUAAAACUACUAAAAGAUUCAAUUCCAAUUUUUGUUCUAAAAUAUUACUAUUUUUUGUAUUGCUAUUAUUAUUUUUACAAAUUAGAAUUAUAUGCAGCAGAGAGUUUGUGUGACCCCAGUACACUCCAGUAAUCACGAUGUAUAGCAAUAUGCACUGAUAUGCACUGGAAAUCUAACAUAUGUUAUAUUUGGGAUUACACUUUCUUAGUAAAGUACAUAUUCUAGUAUGUUUGUUGGGUUUGGAAAACAAACAUGGGUCUUUGAAAGUGAAACAGUUCCAGAAUACAUCAUCUGUAGUUUGUCAUGUCAGCUCAUUUUGAUUAUUAAGUCACUGGCUAUGUUUAACUGACUCUACCAGUAUAAAUAUUCUUAUCAUUUAUCAAAUAAUUUGUUUGUGUGUUGUAUCAAAUAAUGCAUGUUAAAUAGCACAACACAGAUAAUACAGAUGCAUCCUUUAUGUCCUUGUUUUGUAACUCAUGUAAUCGUUUCGUGCAGUUUAUAUAUCCACAUUCGACAGUCAUUACUAAUGUCUAAAUCGGGCUCUGACAAACAAUGCUAUAAAUAUCCACUCACAUGACCCAGGCUACUGACGACUAUUUUCAAACUAUUCAAGAAGAACACUGAUAUGUUCACAAUGUAUUCACCGCAGAGGCAAGAAGGGGACAUAGUUUCUAAAACAAACAUGCAGUUGAAAAACCUACUUUAAGUGAAUCAUGCUAGAAGCAAGAUAGGAUGGAAGACGGCAACGUGUAGGAAAGGACGACAUUGGAUAUAGCAGGUCACAGAUCAUGUGACAGGAAAUGUGAUUCGCUCAAAGCCAUGUUUAUCACCUUUCCAGAGCAUGCAACAUGGCAAAAAUAAACAGGACUGUGAACACAUUGGAUUACAUCACCAUACUAAGUUUUCAGUGAACGCAAAGCCAAAAAAUGAAGCCAUCAGCAUGAAAGGACAUUCUUAAUUCCAAUUUGAGAAUUUUUAUGGAAAUUUGCAAUGGUCCCUGGGUCAAGUGUCAUCCUCCGAAAAUGACUUUAGUGACUAGGAGAAUCCUGUAAUAAGUAAGAAUUGGCAUUUCUUCAAAUUGAUAGAAGAUACGUAAGAACAUUAUAAACUGAGUUUUCAUUCCAGCGAUUGGAAGACAUCGUCUGUAUUGGUCCAUCCAUUGACAAAAAGUGGGAUCAUAAAAAAGAGUCAAAGAGAAAUGAACUUUGUUCCUGUAAUUUUGCCAGAAAAGGUUCUAGGACAAAAAAAAUAAUUAGUCUGUUUGACCCAAUGGAUAUCGGAUUUAGUGUGCCCUUAGCAAUCUACAUAGUGAUUGCUUAAUUCUGAUAUUCUACCCGUGAAGAUCCAGGUUAGAAUUGGUCUUCAGCAACCCAUGCUUGUCAUAACAGACGACUAAUGUGGAUAGGGUGGCCAAGUGCACAUGAUGUUGAUCACUGGAUUGUCUGGUCCAGACUCAAUUAUUUACAAACUGCUGCCAUAUGGGUGGAAUAUUGUUGAGUGCAGAGUUCAACAACAAGUAAACAAACAAAUUAUUCUGAUAUUCUAAUCCAGAGUGAUAAUUAAGUGUAAAUAUAAAAUAUCAACUUGAUCAAGACAUUUUUCCUUUUCCAUUGUUUUCAAUCAAUAAUAUUACUUCCCUUCGUAAUCUGUGCAUUUUAUUCAUUUUCAAGUAUUUCAAGAACUUAACUACCCACUUAACUGUGUUCAAAGCCACAUGAUUAUGGUGACAGGGAAUCUGACCAACAGGAUCACA